UUCAAUUCCAAAUUCUAGAGCGAGCACAGCUCCCAGCUCAGUUCAAAAAUAAUAUAUUUAUAUAAAAAUAUCUCUCGGCUAGGUUUAAGCAUAAAGUGAUAAUUUUGUAUUCUAGCAUUAAGCAUAACACUUUAUACAUAUUUUCAUUUAGCAGUAAGGAGUCACCAAAAAAGAAGACAAGAGAGUAUCUGAGAAACACACCAUUAAAGAACGAAGACGAAUUUAAAGAAUAUUUAUGAAACAAUAUAACGGGUAUGACCAUUCAAAAAAACUAUCUGCCACCUACCCAGACAUGCCGGCUGAUAUUUUUGUGCUGUGCUGGCCACUAAAGGAUACAAUAUUAAGUAAACAAUAUUAAUAAGAGAAAACCAAGUAAGGCGGGAAAUCAUUAACAUUCAUCAUCCCUGCAGUCGCACCGAUGACAUCAAAUUGGAUUCAAAUUCCAUCAAAAGGACGCGGACGAGGAUUCGGACCAGUACGCAGACGCACCAUACAAACAAAUUAAUAAUAUAGCAACUUUUAUUAUAAUAAA